UUAGUAGCGGCGAGUGACAGGCAAGAGCUCAGAUUUGAAAGCCCUCGGGCAUUGUAUUCUGAAGCCUUGGUCCUGAGAAUCGGUGUUUAAGUCUUCUGGAAAGGAGCGCCAUGGAGGGUGAUAGCCCCGUACGACACCACUCUCAUUGUAGGACUUUGGCAUGGAGUCGAGUUGUUUGGGAAUGCAGCUCAAAUGGGUGGUAUGCUCCAUCUAAAGCUAAAUAUCUGCGAGAGACCGAUAGCGAACAAGUACUGUGAAGGAAAGAUGAAAAGAACUUUGAAAAGAGAGUGAAAAAGUACGUGAAAUUGUUGAAAUGGAAGGAUAGGCCGCUAACCAUGUAGGGUCGUGUUCGAGGGGAAGAUAAAAGCUGAAGAAUGUAGCUCCUCGGAGUGUUAUAGCUUCAGUCCAUAUUCCCUCUCGAGCGCGAGGAUUGAAGAC
rnacentral:rRNA from 1 species